rnacentral:rRNA from 1 species
UACGGAGGGUGCGAGCGUUGUCCGGAAUCAUUGGGCGUAAAGGGCGCGUAGGCGGCUUACCAAGUCAGGCGUGAAAUUCCCGGGCUCAACCUGGGGGCUGCGCUUGAUACUGGUGAGCUUGAAUGCGGGAGAGGAUAGUGGAAUUCCCAGUGUAGAGGUGAAAUUCGUAGAUAUUGGGAAGAACACCGGUGGCGAAGGCGGCUAUCUGGCCCGUAAUUGACGCUGAGGCGCGAAAGCGUGGGGAGCAAACAGG